CCAACUCUUGCCAAUUGCCUAAGCCCCAACCCAAAAUGGCCCGGCCAUUCCACAAAAAAAAAAAAAAAAAAAUGGCUAGACCCUUGCCGAACGGCAAGGGCCAUGGAGAAGCUAUGGAGGGUCCAAAAAUUCCAAAUGGCCUGGCCAUUCAAAAAAAAAAAAAAAAAAAAAAAAGGCUAGGCCCUUGCCGAACGGCAAGGACCAUGGAAGAAAUGGAGACCGCCCAAAAUUUUCCAAAGACCCGGAAGUCUUAUGCCUUCGGCACCCUCGUGCCUAGGCCCAUCACCUUGCAACAUGCAAGUCUUAUGCCUUCGGCACCCUCGUGCCUAGGCCCAUCACCUUGCGACAUGCAAUUCUUAUGCCUUCGGCACCCUCGUGCCUAGGCACAUUGCCUUGCGACACGCAAGCUUUGUGCCUUCGGCAUCCCCUAUGCCUUCGGCACCCCCGUGCCUAGCUCUAUUAUCUUGCAACAUGCAAGUCUUAUGCCUUCGGCACCCUCGUGCCUAGGCCCAUCACCUUGCAACAUGCAAGUCUUAUGCCUUCGGCACCCUCGUGCCUAGGCCCAUCACCUUGCGACAUGCAAUUCUUAUGCCUUCGGCACCCUCGUGCCUAGGCACAUUGCCUUGCGACAUGCAAGCUUUGUGCCUUCGGCAUCCCCUAUGCCUUCGGCACCCCCGUGCCUAGCUUUAUUGUCUUGCCACAUGCAAGUCUUAUGCCUUCGGCACCCUCGUGCCUAGGCCCAUCACCUUGCGACAUGCAAGUCUUAUGCCUUCGGCACCCUCGUGCCUAGGCCCAUCACCUUGCGACAUGCAAUUCUUAUGCCUUCGGCACCCUCGUGCCUAGGCACAUUGCCUUGCGACAUGCAAGCUUUGUGCCUUCGGCAUCCCCUAUGCCUUCGGCACCCCCGUGCCUAGCUUUAUUGUCUUGCAACAUGCAAGUCUUAUGCCUUCGGCACCCUCGUGCCUAGGCCCAUCGCCUUGCCACAUGCAAUUCUUAUGCCUUCGGCACCCUCGUGCCUAGUCACAUUGCCUUGCGACAUGCAAGCUUUGUGCCUUCGGCAUCCCCUAUGCCUUCGGCACCCCCGUGCCUAGCUCUAUUAUCUUGCAACAUGCAAUUCUUAUGCCUUCGGCACCCUCGUGCCUAGGCACAUUGCCUUGCGACAUGCAAGCUUUGUGCCUUCGGCAUCCCAUUUGCCUUCGGCACCCCCAUGCCUAGCUCUAUUAUCUUGCAACAUGCAAGUCUUAUGCCUUCGGCACCCUCGUGCCUAGGCCCAUCACCUUGCAACAUGCAAGUCUUAUGCCUUCGGCACCCUCGUACCUAGGCCCAUCACCUUGCGACAUGCAAUUCUUAUGCCUUCGGCACCCUCGUGCCUAGGCACAUUGCCUUGCGACACGCAAGCUUUGUGCCUUCGGCAUCCCCUAUGCCUUCGGCACCCCCGUGCCUAGCUUUAUUGUCUUGCCACAUGCAAGUCUUAUGCCUUCGGCACCCUCGUGCCUAGGCCCAUCACCUUGCGACAUGCAAGCCUUAUGCCUUCGGCACCCUCGUGCCUAGGCCCAUCACCUUGCGACAUGCAAUUCUUAUGCCUUCGGCACCCUCGUGCCUAGGCACAUUGCCUUGCGACAUGCAAGCUUUGUGCCUUCGGCAUC
rnacentral:lncRNA from 1 species